rnacentral:miRNA from 1 species
AACUUUUUGUAAGUAUGUUCCAUGCCAUAUUUGGGACAUACUUAUACUAAAA